rnacentral:rRNA from 1 species
UGCGUUUGCCAGUUGGGCCUGGAUUCAGAANCUAAGCAGGUCUGGGCCUGGUUAGUCUCUGGAUGGGAGACCACAAGGAACUCCCAGGGCUGAAGGCGAUA